rnacentral:lncRNA from 1 species
GGAAAACCUUUUAGAGGAUAAGAGUAACUUGCAUGUUAAGAGAUAAGGAAGAGCUUAGAUAUUCUCAAGGGGGUUAAGGGGUAAAAUAGCCAAGUAAAACAAUAGGUAAAAGGGAGAAUUAAGAAAAGAGGAAAGCCUGAUAAUGCUACCCCAAGGUCUGCCUAUAAGAAAAUCUUUUUGGUCAUUCUAUGAAGGGGGAAUAACAUAUAAGAAGUAGCAAAAAUGGCUGAAACAUUUCCUUCUUAAAAAAAUACAGAUUUUAGAGCAUCAAUAUGCAUAAAUAUUUUUGAAAAUACACACACUGAUACAGAUUUUGAGAGUUGAAACACACAAGAAAAGGGGACUUCAAAUUACUUUCUCAUUUUCCUCUUAGAAUUUCAAGGGUGGUCAUGAGGAUUCCUGGGUUUUCAAGCUGAAAAUAGUUGGUUUUGAAGUUGUUCUUUGUUCGAUUAUCACUAUUGAUCUAUUGCUGAUCUCUUGCUAUUGUUCCUUCAGCUGGCUUCAGAAUUUUCUUUUUCUUCUAUUGCUGUAUCCAGGUAUCACCAUUUGAGUCCUGAAAUGACAAUUGAAGUUUUGAUAUGUUUGGCUUAAGAUGGACCUUCAGAUUUUCUUCUUGUUUUUGAUAACUAUUAUUUGUUGGGUGUUGUAACAACUUGCUUCAAUUUAGACUAAGGAUUUUGUUUUUUCUAGUAUGUUUCUCGAGGUUUAAAUUAGUAACCAAUGUGUCAGCUGUAAUUUGUUAGGAUUGUGGUGGAAACUAUGGAUUGCAUAUUAUAAGUAUGUGUACUACUAAUUGAGUCACUUUGAGUCUGACACUAUUAGAUUAAUUACAUGUUUAAGUUUAGGGUAAUAUAUGAAUGAGCCUUUGUUGGUUAGAUCUACUGAUAGGCAGUAGUCAUCUCCAUUUUUACUGUUUUUUAUAUAUCUUGUCUUUAAGGAUGUUUUGAGUAUGCUUUUCACUAUGUCUGCAUCUCGUUUCUGUCAUUACUUUAAUUCUCACUUCUAAACGUCUAAUUUUUCAUCUAUUGGGUUAAAGACAGGUGAUGGACCCUUUUGUUAGAGUUUGUUAGUUUUGGCUGACUGUCAACCCAGCAUUGUGUUCACUUGGAAGCCCAGGAAAUGACUAUAUAAUGUCACUAGCUCAUUUCUUGGGUUGUUUGCCGUGAGAGUCAGUUGAAUGGCAUGUUUAUUAUGAUCUAUCUCUCUUCUUCUACAUCUUGACUUCUAAGUUCAAGCUUUUUCAAAAGUUUGGUCAAUGGUCAAUUAUCCAAAUCAUGAUUAUUCUUAGAAUUGUCAUUAUGGUUGAAACGCUCAUAGGGUUGAUCUUAAUUUUAGCAACUUGGUCACCUGAAUCCUAUUAGCUUAAGGACUUGUCCACUGGUUUUUUUUAUAUCUAAUCGCC